UCUCCGUUGUAUUUGUUUUGUUCACUCCACUGAUGCUUUCUUCGACGAACUUCAUCUUCUUUCGUGCAAGUUGAUUCUCCUUCUUAAUGCUUCUUUGUCUCCGUUGGGCACGACUUCUAUAGGUAUGGUGUGUCCACGUUGGUGUUUUUUCAGUACGAGUCCCACAUCGCAUAAGCUUCAAUCAACUUCGUUCUUUAUAUAUAUAAAGCACAGACGUGAGCUUGUCCCUUCGGGGACAUCCGAUAAAAUUGGAACGAUACAGAGAAGAUUAGCAUGGCCCCUGCGCAAGGAUGACACGCACAAAUCGAGAAAUGGUUCAAAUUUUUUUAUUGUAUAAUUUCAUCCCCAAACCCACUUCCUUCGUUUUCGUUCUUGGGUUCUUCCUGAGAAACCCCUCUUUGUUCGUUUUUUGUUCUUGGUUUCUUAUUAGCGGUGGUGCGUUUCGUUUUCAGUUGUUGAAACAGAGAUUAUGCAUUUCCUGUCAUUAAUAAACCCACUUCGUUUACCCUCAGCUUCUUUCUGAGAAUUAUCUCUGCUAAGAAGAUAGGGUAAUGGGGAAAGUAUUUAGAGCAGUGAUGAGUUUCGAUCUAAGUUUCAUUUCCUGAACCUGGAAAACUUUUUUCCCAAAAAAGAAAAGGUUAAACUUCAAAUGGAAUUUGAUUGAAUACCAUUGGGUUCUAACAAAAGGCACCACAAAACGGGAAAGGUUGCACAUUGCCAUGCCCCUGUUAUAUAAUUCUUGGUUAUUUGCAUUUGAUCUUUUGAAACUCAUGGCACAAACUUCAGGUGAUAAAAGCUUAUUCAUUGUUUUAAGUCGGAAUGCUUUUGGCUGGAACUUAAACAUAAUUUUAAUGAAGUCGAGAUUAAGCUGGACUGCUACAUCAUCCUUUUCUUGAAAUGGAAUGCCUUCUUAACAGACAAGUGUUCUAGUUUUCUGGUCAGAGAUGCUUAAUAUAUUUGCUGCAACCCAUCUUCAUUAGAAAUGAAAUUUAUAUUUUCGGGCAAUGUAGUUUUUUAUGUUUUGCCUGGAAUAAACCUUUUUUUACUCCAUAAACCCCCUCCCCUUUUUUUCAGUGUUACUGUAUUAACUAUUAAGGAUUCUGAGUUGUGUUCUUCUUGUAGUGAAUCUUGCCGUUUUUCGCAUUUCCCAUCUUGUUUCAAGGAUUGUUGUUUGAUUCUUCUAAAGUAUGGCAUUCCAAUGCAUUGCCAAUGUUCACGUUCUUUUAGUUGAAGGAUUUGUUCUGGUGAUUUGCUAAACCUCCAAGGACAAGCAAACCUCUCAAGAUAAAUAUACAUGUACACGGGGAACAAUUUAUUUUUCUGAUUAAUUUGCUUUCUCAAUUUGUGUUUUGACUUUAAAUUGCCAUGCACAUGGGGUUUAUAUAGUUUGUUUGAAUAAUAGUUUGUGUUUAUGAUGGGAA